rnacentral:rRNA from 1 species
UACGUAGGGCGCAAGCGUUGUCCGGAAUUAUUGGGCGUAAAGAGCUCGUAGGCGGCUUGUCACGUCGGGUGUGAAAGCCCGGGGCUUAACCCCGGGUCUGCAUUCGAUACGGGCAGGCUAGAGUGUGGUAGGGGAGAUCGGAAUUCCUGGUGUAGCGGUGAAAUGCGCAGAUAUCAGGAGGAACACCGUGGCGAAGGCGGUUCUCUGGGCCCGUACUGACGCUGAGGAACGAAAGCGUGGGGAGCGAACAGG